rnacentral:rRNA from 1 species
GAUAAACGCUAGCGGCAGGCCUAACACAUGCAAGUCGAGGGGUAGCAGGAUUAAGCUUGCUUAAUUGCUGACGACCGGCGCACGGGUGCGUAACGCGUAUGCAACCUACCUUAUACUGGGGUAUAGCCCGGAGAAAUUCGGAUUAAUCCCCCAUAGUACUAAUGAAUCGCAUGGUUUAUUAGUUAAAGCAUUGCGGUAUAAGAUGGGCAUGCGUCCUAUUAGCUAGAUGGUGAGGUAACGGCUCACCAUGGCUACGAUAGGUAGGGGGCCUGAGGGGGUGGUCCCCCACACUGGUACUGAGACACGGACCAGACUCCUACGGGAGGCAGCAGUGAGGAAUAUUGGUCAAUGGGCGCAAGCCUGAACCAGCCAUGCCGCGUGCAGGAAGAAUGCCCUAUGGGUUGUAGACUGCUUUUAUUUGGGAAUAAACCUCUUUACGUGUAGAGAGCUGAAGGUACCAAAUGAAUAAGCACCGGCUAACUCCGUGCCAGCCGCCGCAGUAA